UAAGAGGUCCAGCCUGCCCAGUGACUAUAAGUUCAACGGCCGCGGUAUUUUAACCGUGCAAAGGUAGCGUAAUCACUUGUCUUUUAAAUGAAGACCCGUAUGAAUGGCUAGACGAGGGCUUAACUGUCUCUUCCUUCAGGUCAAUGAAAUUGAUCUCCCCGUGCAGAAGCGGGGAUAGAACCAUAAGACGAGAAGACCCUAUGGAGCUUCAGACACUCGAGCAUAUCAUGUUAAACACCCUAAAACAAAAGGUUAAACUUAGUGAAUAAAUGCUGCCGUGUCUUCGGUUGGGGCGACCCCGGGGAAACAAAAAACCCCCGUGUGGAAUGAGAGUACUAUCUCCCAAAGCUAAGAGCUGCCGCUCAAAUAAUCAGAACUUCUGACCAAAACAGAUCCGGCAAGACCGAUUAACGGACCAAGUUACCCUAGGGAUAACAGCGCAAUCCCCUUUUAGAGCCCCUAUCGACAAGGGGGUUUACGACCUCGAUGUUGGAUCAGGACAUCCUAAUGGUGGAGCCGCUAUUAAGGGUUCGUUUGUUCAACG
rnacentral:rRNA from 1 species